rnacentral:tRNA from 1 species
GAGCCCUUGGCUCAAUGGUAGAGCCUUUGACUCAAAAACAAAAUGUCAAAGGUUAAAAUCCAAGGUGUG